rnacentral:lncRNA from 1 species
UAAAAACAUACUAAGUAUUAUUAAUCGGCUAGCAAAGAGAAGUUAAACAUACGACAUGAACUGAAUUAACUAGUGCGCACGACUAGUUAAAAGAAACAAACUCUCUUUGACAAUAAGUUUCUAAUUAAAUCAUGGCUGCGUCUGGGCAGCGUUAUUGUGAGAGUGAAAGUGGACGUGCUGCUACUCCCCUCAUUCCCAACAUGUAUCAAGUACCUGCAUUGAGUAAUGCAAGAGUGAGAUGACACAUCUCAGCAAGUAAAAUAAUAUCAAAUUGUUUAACCACAUAAGAACAUUGUUUUACCACCACUUGAUUCCACAACUUUCUUAUUACGACGGUGCAACACGUAUACAACGUACAACACACCUAGUCACCACACCUCGCAGGUAGAAACCACAAUAGUAACAUAGUAAUGUCACACUUCAUAUAUACCUCAUGAGUGCAAAUGUCUGCAAAUGCAAGGAUGACUUCUACCUUCAUACCUCUAAGGAUAUGAAGCCGCAUCAUACCCCUCCUCGGGCAACGUACAAUUCUAAAAAUGUACUAGUACGGUCGGACCAUAAGAUCACGACAUAACUUCAAAAUGCAAGAUGGAUGAUGCGAUGUGCAUGUCAUGCCUACAACACUUCAUAUAACGUGAUUCAAAAAAGAUACUUCAACUUCAUCCAAGAUGGGAAUCAACCACAUAUAUCAUAACCAAAUUAUGAUCAUCCACAAUAUUAGACAAUUGAGAAUUAAUACUUCCAAACAAAUAAACUUCAUCAUAGAAUUCAAUGAUUAACAUAAUUAAAACUUAUGCAUACUCAAUGACAGGGAAUAGGAUGCAAAGCAAACGGUAGCAACCACCACUAUAUUUACUUGCCUUUACCGGAAGUUCGGGCAAAUCCCUAAGUACGAUCCGGAAGUCCAACACCUGUUUUUUGACACACAACUUAGUGCACCAAUUUCACAUAAUCAGGCUCAUAAACGACGCCGCACCUAUGCACAAACUCAAACCCCGCCGCGGGUUACAUCUCUCCCCACACCCACCAAACUGCAGCGGCGCUGCUUAAUAAUUUCAUAACUUUAAAAUUAUGACAGCAGUGGUAACAAACAAAAACUCUAGAGUCAUCUACAUAAAAUUCCCCACAAGUUUUGUAUACAAUUUAUAAUUAAAUUCCAACAUCUAAUUAGCCCAAAAUAGUCCACAAGAUGAACCCUGUAAUCUGUUUUUUUGUCUUUUGGACAGCGACAUACCCGGAUUCAAACAGCGAUAUCUUUUAAAAUAUAAUUCCAAAUCAAGUGCAUAAGUACUCAUUGGAAAGAUAAGACAAAGCCCUACAUGAUUAUAAUACUGGUUAACACUAAUUACCCACGAAAAAUUCCCAGAAACUGCUAAUACUACUGCUGUUCACCCACCUGAAAAAUCUGUUUCUUUUGGACAGCAACAUAACCGGAUUCAAACAACGAUAUCUGCUAAAUUAUAACUCCGAAUCGAGCGCAUAAGUACUCGUUGGAAAGGUAUGACAAAGCUCUACAUGAUUCUCCCACUGAUCCCCACUAAUUGCCCACGAAAAAUUCCCAGAAACUGCUAAUACUACUGUUGUUCACCCACCUGAAAAAUCUGUUUCUUUUGGACAGCAACAUAACCGGAUUCAAACAAAGAUAUCUUCUAAAUUAUAACUCCGAAUCGAGCGCAUAAGUACUCGUUGGAAAGGUAUGACAAAGCUCUACAUGAUUCUCCCACUGAUCCCCACUAAUUGCCCACGAAAAAUUCCCAGAAAUCCCUAGAACUACUGCUGUUCGCCCUUCCACAAAAAUUCUGGACAGCACCUCUACCGAUUCGCAUAGAUAAACAUAUAAUCAAUUGAAUUUUAGCGCAAAAACAUAGAUAACUUCAAGAUCACCUUGAGUUCCACCUUUUUCCUCCUUCCUUCCUCCCACCAAUUCUCCAAUUGAAACUUGCACCCACACGAAGAAGAUCCGACGAGGAAGAACGACACUUGGAGAAGAGGAGAUGGGGGUGGCGGCUAGGGUUGAGGAGAUGGCUGCUGCAAAAAACUUGAGAAUGGAGAGGGGGCGGCUGCAGCACUUGGGGAAGAGAGAAGAGGGAAGAGGGGGGAGGGUGACGGCCAAAGGAGGGAAG